GGCGGCAGGCCUUACACAUGCAAGUCGAGCGGAUGAAGGGAGCUUGCUCCCUGAUUUAGCGGCGGACGGGUGAAUAAUGCCUAGGAAUCCGCCUGGUAGUGGGGGAUAACGUUCCGAAAGGAACGCUAAUACCGCGUACGUCCUACGGGAGAAAGCAGGGGACCUUCGGGCCUUGUGCUACUAGAUGAGCCUAGGUCGGAUUAGCUAGUUGGUGAGGUAAUGGCUUACCAAGGCGACGAUCCGUAACUGGUCUGAGAGGAUGAUCAGUCACACUGGGACUGAGACACGG
rnacentral:rRNA from 1 species